rnacentral:snoRNA from 1 species
CCUCUGCAGCCGAAGAGGUGCCGCGGGUUGCUGUCCCGCGGGCACACCGGGCUGGCAGGGAGAGCAGGAUGAGGAGGCCGAGGCGUGCCGGCGGCAGCCGCGGCACCGCACGCGCUGUGCUCCUCCGACAGGGACCGCUGUUGGCACGGAGGUAAUGGCUUCUCCCAUGUCAUUAUCCAUCUACCAACAGUGAGAGCAGUCUGGCAGUCUGAUAUUGUUUAGCAAACACAGUAACAUCUGCUGAACACUGAAAAACUGCUAUAAAG